CCUAUCUGCCGUGGGUGUAGGAGACUUGAGAGGAGUUGCCCCUAGUACGAGAGGACCGGGGUGAACGAUCCACUGGUGGACCUGUUGUUGCGCCAGCAGCAGUGCAGGGUAGCUAUGAUCGGACAGGAUAACCGCUGAAGGCAUCUAAGCGGGAAACCCACCUGAAAACGAGUGUUCCCUAUCAGAGCCGUGGAAGACGACCACGUUGAUAGGCCGGGUGUGGACGUGCAGCAAUGCAUGAAGCUUACCGGUACUAAU
rnacentral:rRNA from 1 species